rnacentral:rRNA from 1 species
GAUGAACGCUGGCGGCGUGCCUAAUACAUGCAAGUCGAGCGAACGGACGAGAAGCUUGCUUCUCUGAUGUUAGCGGCGGACGGGUGAGUAACACGUGGAUAACCUACCUAUAAGACUGGGAUAACUUCGGGAAACCGGAGCUAAUACCGGAUAAUAUUUUGAACCGCAUGGUUCAAAAGUGAAAGACGGUCUUGCUGUCACUUAUAGAUGGAUCCGCGCUGCAUUAGCUAGUUGGUAAGGUAACGGCUUACCAAGGCAACGAUGCAUAGCCGACCUGAGAGGGUGAUCGGCCACACUGGAACUGAGACACGGUCCAGACUCCUACGGGAGGCAGCAGUAGGGAAUCUUCCGCAAUGGGCGAAAGCCUGACGGAGCAACGCCGCGUGAGUGAUGUAGGUCUUCGGACCGUAAAACUCUGUUAUUAGGGAAGAACAUAUGUGUAAGUAACUGUGCACAUCUUGACGGUACCUAAUCAGAAAGCCACGGCUAACUACGUG